AGAAAAGUACUAAAGAUGCAGAAGUAGAGAAGGGUGUUCCUGAUUUUUGGCUCAAUGCUGUGAAGACAAAUGAAGUUUUAAUGGAGGAGAUCACAGAGCGUGACGAAGGUGCUCUCAAGUAUCUGAAAGAUAUCAAUUGGUGCAGGAUUGAAGAGCUCAAGGGAUUCAAUUCAAG